GGGGGAUAUUGCGCAAUGGGGGCAACCCUGACGCAGCAACGCCGCGUGAAGGAUGAAGGUUUUCGGAUUGUAAACUUCUUUUAUUAAGGACGAAACUUGACGGUACUUAAUGAAUAAGCUCCGGCUAACUACGUGCCAGCAGCCGCGGUAAUACGUAGGGAGCAAGCGCUGUCCGGAUUUACUGGGUGUAAAGGGUGCGUAGGCGGCUUUGCAAGUCAGAUGUGAAAUCUAUGGGCUCAACCCAUAAACUGCAUUUGAAACUGUAGAGCUUGAGUGAAGUAGAGGCAGGCGGAAUUCCCCGUGUAGCGGUGAAAUGCGUAGAGAUGGGGAGGAACACCAGUGGCGAAGGCGGCCUGCUGGGCUUUAACUGACGCUGAGGCACGAAAGCGUGGGUAGCAAACAGGAUUAGAUACCCUGGUAGUCCACGCUGUAAACGAUGAUUACUAGGUGUGGGGGGUCUGACCCCUUCCGUGCCGGAGUUAACACAAUAAGUAAUCCACCUGGGGAGUACGGCCGCAAGGUUGAAACUCAAAGGAAUUGACGGGGGCCCGCACAAGCAGUGGAGUAUGUGGUUUAAUUCGAAGCAACGCGAAGAACCUUACCAGGUCUUGACAUCCAACUAACGAAGUAGAGAUACAUUAGGUGCCCUUCGGGGAAAGUUGAGACAGGUGGUGCAUGGUUGUCGUCAGCUCGUGUCGUGAGAUGUUGGGUUAAGUCCCGCAACGAGCGCAACCCUUGCUAUUAGUUGCUACGCAAGAGCACUCUAAUAGGACUGCCGUUGACAAAACGGAGGAAGGUGGGGACGACGUCAAAUCAUCAUGCCCCUUAUGACCUGGGCUACACACGUACUACAAUGGAUGUUAACAGAGGGAAGCAAGACAGCGAUGUGGAGCAAACCCCUAAAAACAUUCUCAGUUCAGAUUGCAGGCUGCAACCCGCCUGCAUGAAGAUGGAAUUGCUAGUAAUCGCGGAUCAGCAUGCCGCGGUGAAUACGUUCCCG
rnacentral:rRNA from 1 species